CGAGGAAAAGAAACUAACAAGGAUUCCCCUAGUAACUGCGAGUGAAGCGGGAAGAGCUCAAAUUUUGAAUCUGGCAGUCCUUGGCUGUCCGAGUUGUAAUCUAGAGAAGUGUUUUCCGCGCCGGACCGUGUAUAAGUCUCCUGGAAGGGAGCGUCGUAGAGGGUGAGAAUCCCGUCUUUGACACGGACUACCAGUGCUAUGUGAUGCGCUCUCGACGAGUCGAGUUGUUUGGGAAUGCAGCUCAAAACGGGUGGUAAACUCCAUCUAAAGCUAAAUACAGGCGAGAGACCGAUAGCGAACAAGUACCGUGAGGGAAAGAUGAAAAGAACUUUGGAAAGAGAGUUAAACAGUACGUGAAAUUGCUGAAAGGGAAACGCUUGAUGUCAGUCACGUUGGCUGGGGAUCAACCUUGCUUCUCGCUGGGUGUACUUCCCGGUCGACGGGUCAGCAUCAGUUUCAGUCGCCGUACAAGGGUGAGGGGAACGUGGCACUCCUCGGAGUGUGUUAUAGCCUUUCGUCGUAUGCGGCGGUCGGGACUGAGGUGCUCAGCACAGCUUCUUGCUUGUGCUCAGGAUGCUGGCAUAAUGGCCUUAAGCGACCCGUCUG
rnacentral:rRNA from 1 species